UUGCGAAACGCCCUCGACCAAGGCGGUUGAGGGCGUCAUCCCGGAGCGGCGUCCGGGGUCUGAUGAGCAGCCGAAG
rnacentral:hammerhead_ribozyme from 18 species